rnacentral:lncRNA from 1 species
GGUGGUGGUGGCUGGUUAUGAUGGGAAUUUUAAGGUGUGUGAGUCAGCACUGUAAGGAUAUUCUUUAAAAAACUUUGUGAAAGAAAGGCUACAUUGAGGAUAUUGCUAGAAAGAUCAGUUGUAGCAUCAAGGAAACAGCCUUUAAGUCAGUUACACCUGUGUAUCUUUGAAGAUAUGGAGCUCAAACCUGGGAGAAGAGGUUGCAGAUUUUGAGAAGGGAAUGGAUAGAUAGAAGAACUAGAUCCCCUAAAAAUCAUGGUACCCUGGGAAGAUCAGCCUCACUGGGAUUCAAGUUCGUCAGCUGAAAAAGAGGGGGAGACAUUAAAUAAUCUGCUUGAUAGCAUGAGCUAAGAGCAAUUGAUUUCACAAAGCAAUUGAAAGGAUAAAGAGAAACACAAAUUAUGGAAAAUGUACCAGGCACAGGUGAAUAAAUACUACAAUAUUAAUAAAGCUCUAAAAUGCUUAGAAUUAGUUUGAAGCUUUCUCUCUGAUUAAUGUUUAACGUGUGUGUCUGUGUUUUUUUUUUUUUUUAAUUUCCAAAGAAGUUAAGGAUAGUAUAAGGAAGAAGUGGGAAACAUAUAAAGAAGCUAAAUCAGGGAUGCCUGGGUGGCUCAGCAGUUGAGCAUCUGCCUUCAGCUCAGGGAGUGAUCACAGGGUCCCGGGAUCCAAUCCCGCACCAGGCUCCCUGCAUGGAGCCUGCUUCUCCCUCUGCCUCUCUCUGUGUGUCUCACAUGAAUAAAUAAAUAAAAUAUUUUUUAAAAAAGAAGCUAAAUCACUUGUAACCCCACUACUAGGGUCAGCACCAUAUUAAUGUUCCCCCCAAUUCCUUCUAGUCUUUAAAACAUAUAUGUAAUAUAUAUUAUGUGCAUAAUAUAUAA